GUCAACAACAACCAGCAGCAGCCAACAACUUGUAGCUCUAGGUCUUUCCAUCCCCAUCACUGGACAACCGAUAAACUUGGACAACGGGGAUUGAGGUUUUGCGUUUGCCAAGUUGUUGCAUACCAUUGUAAACAUUGUAAUUUCUUCUUUUCUUCCUUGCACAACACACCGCAUACGUCUCGUAGCUUCAAACCACAGAUCAAACCGCAUGUAUUAACAACCCCAACCACUAGCAUCGUUCAUUUUACCAAGCAAAGUCCUGAACCCAAAUCCAGCUGAAUUUCUGGCCUUCCACUUGUGACAGCCUACGUGACCGAACUGGACCACUAUCGCGAGCGGAAAUGGAGUUCGGGUGUACCAGGGCGACACCUGCACAGGGGUCAGCGGAUCGCGGUUAGCGUUGGCCACGUUUCCGACGGUCCGCUCUGGCUUUGUGUGCGUUCGCUCGUCGGUCGCACGCACACCGAGACCCCGGACUGUUAUCUACCACAACAUACACCGAAACCGAACAACGACACAGACAGCUCCGUCCCAUUGUUGAUAAGCCAGCCGCGGUAACUAGCCGCGAGUACCGAUGGCGAGCACCCGGUACUAAAAGGGAGCUGGUGGACGAGGUACGUUACGAGUAAGCUCUUUGAAGCAGUUUGCCAGAGUUUGCCACUCCAAGCCCUGCAAGACAUCAUCAGCUAGACACAUCAGCACAGGGACCACAUUCCUCCGGGGCCACUUGAAGCCUGGGCCUGGGGGCGAGCGCUGGCUUAAACACCAAAGAGGAACAAAAACCACCCGGCCAACAACCUGACGUCAGGCGAGUCAAGAGGGCUUUUGCUCAUCGGUUCACGGUACACGAUUAGCACCUAGCAGGGUGGUGCUUUUUGCUGUUGAUUUUGCAAACAGGGAAGUGGACGAGGCCAUCGGUGUGUCGUCGGUGGUCGGUCGGUACUGUUAAAUCCCUUCUCCACUUACACGUGACCACUUGUCGCGCGUUCGGGAAGGGUAUAGGGAUUGUUGCCUGCUGCACCACAAAUAAGUCAUCAAUAACGUCGUCAACAACUGAUGUACUUGCUAAACACGAAACGUUUUAAUGUCCUGUAUAUGAAGGUACAGGUAGGCCACAGAGUUUGUUCUAAAUUUCAUGCAAAUUAAGCAACCAAUGAUUAAGCAAUACGGCCCGAGUCGUUCGUUCUGAAUAAAAAAAACCAAUGCUUGUUUAAA